UACGUAGGGUGCGAGCGUUGUCCGGAAUUAUUGGGCGUAAAGAGCUCGUAGGCGGUCUGUCGCGUCGGCUGUGAAAUCCCGGAGCUCAACUCCGGGUCUGCAGUCGAUACGGGCAAACUGGAGUACUGCAGGGGAGACUGGAAUACUUGGUGUAGCAGUGAAAUGCGUAGAUAUCAAGUGGAACACCAGUGGCGAAGGCGAGUCUCUGGACAUUCCCUGACGCUGAGGCACGAAAGCCAGGGGAGCAAACGGG
rnacentral:rRNA from 1 species